rnacentral:lncRNA from 1 species
AUAUUUUGGGUGCGCAAAACCAUCCCAUUUCAUAACCAACCCCCUUACCCAGAUCUCUGACAUUUUUAUUAGUUUUUUAUUUGAAAAACUUCUUACUUGGAUUUUGUUCGCUUUUUAGCCUUUCCUUUGGACAAAUAAAAGUGUGGUGGCGACUCGAAUUGUAUGUUGACUUUUGGUUUAGUCAAUAAACCUAAAGGUAACGAAAACCCUGCUACAAAAAAGUGGUGACUCUGUUG